ACAUAAAUACCGCCCCUCGCGCGUUUCGGCCGCAAGGUGGCGUUGGCAACAAGCCUGCUCAACGCCCGACGGCCUCGCACGGCCCUAGCACGUGGACCAGGAAGAUGGACGGAUGUGUGCGUGUGUGUGCGUGUGCGUGUGCGCGCGCCGAGUCCGCGUGGGACGAGUGUAUACAUACAGCACUCGUUCCUCUCGCCGAGAUCCUCGCAGUGUCUCUAUGGCGGCUCUGACGUCAGGACCCGUCACCGGACCAGAGCCACUGACGCCUCACUGGAGCAGCAGGCCCCGACAGACGCACGGACAUUGGCUCAGAAUCAGCUCAGCCCACAGCCCAAGUCGCGGCUGCUCGUCUCGAUCCGGUCCGGCCAGCCGGCCAGCCGCCGGCAGCUCCUAGGAGUGACCUGGCCCAAGGUGAACACUCCGACUCCAGCAGGAGCAGGGGCCGGGUCGGUUAGGAGAGGUUUCUUUCUUCUGCUUUAGUGCACCUUACCCUACGGCCAAUUCAAGUACCAGGCCGAUAAGCACUAAAAAUCCUUAUACAUUUCUCUGCCGCGCAUGCUCCGCUUUCGCAUUUUUAAGGGUUGAAUGAAGAAAUUUGUGCCUAAAUUUAUAAGUGGAGCACGCACAGGGAUUCCUGCGCCACGAAUUAGAAAGUUCAUCAGAUUUUAGUGAGUGCUGAUCACUGUCGCAAUCCUCCCGAAUCCUUCCUCACCCAAGUGCUGUGCGCUGUGCAGAGCAAGGGGGGUGGGCCUGCCCGUGUGCCCCGUGCCGGUGGGGCACGUGGGUAGGGUAUACAGCAGAACACUCGAGUGUCUGAUCGAGAUAUUCGGGUACAGAGUACAGGAAUGAGAAGAGUGCAUCGCGCCACUCGUGGCUGCGGCUGUGGGUUAAUUGGGUAUGGUGUUCAUCCUGCUUCAUGUUGCAAAAGGAGGACAUCAAUAAAAUGGCCGUUUGUUUUGGAAUUGCUA